AAUUGCUGGGAGGAGCUGCCCAGGUGUGCUGAGGGGCCUGUACUCAGGAAGAGAAACAGGGAAUCCUCCACAGCACUAGAAAAACACCCCAACUCACCAAUGACAGCAAAGCAGAUAUUGGAAGUCAUUCAGAAAGAAGGGUUAAAAGAAACAAGAUAGAAAAUAACUGACAAGGAUGGAAUGGGGUCAAGUAGAGCAAGUUAAGUGGAGAUAAGAAGACAGAAUUCUGUUAACCUUAAAUGCAAUUAUAUAUGAUGAGCAUUUUUAUAGAUAGCAGCUUGACUCAAAAAUAAUUUAGGGACAAACUAUUUUCCAUUUGGGAUCACCUCAACAACCUUAACAGGCAGCACCAGGUCUUCAUAUGCUUUUAAGUUUACCUUCUGCUAUGGAAAGGAUCUUUCCUUGAAUGUUCAUAUUUUCAUCUUGAGAAGUCUGGUUUCAGACCCCGGCAUGGCUUGGAGACAGCGUUGGUGUGUAUGAAGGAUCUUCCUCCAAUGAAGGAUUUGGGACAACUUUCCAUGAUGAUUAUAUUAGAGCCUCAGCUGCUUUCGUGUUGGUCAUGAGGUGAUGCU
rnacentral:lncRNA from 1 species